GUGUUCACUUUGGCAGCACAUAUACUAAAAUUGGAACGAUUCAGAGAAGAUUAGCAUGGCCCUUGCACAAGGAUGACAUGCAAAUUCGUGAAGCAUUCCAUAUUUAA
rnacentral:snRNA from 1 species